ACACUCACCGUAGACUUUGCACGACCGUGGACACGACGCCUGCGAAUUCCCCAAAUGUGGGAAUCUCGACUGCAUAAUUUCUGGUAGUGGGGGACUGCGUUCGCGCUCUCCCCUG
ensembl:snRNA U1 U1 spliceosomal RNA